rnacentral:misc_RNA from 1 species
UUAAGUUCAGCGGGUAUUCCUACCUGAUCCGAGGUCAACCUUGAGAAAGUGGGGGGUUUUACGGCCGGUCACCCGUCGCGUGCCCUGAGCGUGGUAAGUUUACUGCACUCGGUACGACGACGAGCCCGCCACUGGGUUUGGGAGCCUGCGGCAGCCGCAGGGCUCCAACACAAGCGCAGGCGCUUGAUGGUUGAAAUGAC